rnacentral:rRNA from 1 species
UACGGAAGGCAGCAGUGGGGAAUAUUGCACAAUGGGCGCAAGCCUGAUGCAGCCAUGCCGCGUGUAUGAAGAAGGCCUUCGGGUUGUAAAGUACUUUCAGUCGUGAGGAAGGUGUUAAGGUUAAUAACCUUAGCAAUUGACGUUAGCGACAGAAGAAGCACCGGCUAACUCCGUGCCAGCAGCCGCGGUAAUACGGAGGGUGCGAGCGUUAAUCGGAAUUACUGGGCGUAAAGGGCACGCAGGCGGUUAAUUAAGUUGGAUGUGAAAUCCCCGGGCUUAACCUGGGAAUGGCAUUCAAGACUGGUUAGCUAGAGUCUUGUAGAGGGGGUAGAAUUCCAUGUGUAGCGGUGAAAUGCGUAGAGAUGUGGAGGAAUACCGGUGGCGAAGGCGGCCCCUGGGACAAAGGACUGACGCUCAUGUGCGAAAGCGUGGGGAGCAAACGAGGGAUUAGAUACC